UACAGAGGUCCCGAGCGUUGUUCGGAUUCACUGGGCGUAAAGGGUGCGUAGGUGGUGAGGUAAGUCGGAUGUGAAAUCUCCGGGCUUAACCCGGAAACUGCAUUGGAAACUACCUUGCUGGAGGGUUUGAGGGGGGACUGGAAUUCUCGGUGUAGCAGUGAAAUGCGUAGAUAUCGGGAGGAACACCAGUGGCGAAGGCGGUUGCCUGGAGCUUUGCUGACGCUGAGGCGCGAAAGCGUGGGGAGCGAUCCGG
rnacentral:rRNA from 1 species